CCUACGGGAGGCAGCAGUGGGGAAUUUUGGACAAUGGGCGCAAGCCUGAUCCAGCCAUGCCGCGUGCGGGAAGAAGGCCUUCGGGUUGUAAACCGCUUUUGUCAGGGAAGAAAAGGUUCUGGAUAAUACCUGGGACUCAUGACGGUACCUGAAGAAUAAGCACCGGCUAACUACGUGCCAGCAGCCGCGGUAAUACGUAGGGUGCAAGCGUUAAUCGGAAUUACUGGGCGUAAAGCGUGCGCAGGCGGUUAUGCAAGACAGAGGUGAAAUCCCCGGGCUCAACCUGGGAACUGCCUUUGUGACUGCAUAGCUAGAGUACGGUAGAGGGGGAUGGAAUUCCGCGUGUAGCAGUGAAAUGCGUAGAUAUGCGGAGGAACACCGAUGGCGAAGGCAAUCCCCUGGACCUGUACUGACGCUCAUGCACGAAAGCGUGGGGAGCAAACAGGAUUAGAUACCCUGGUAGUCCCGACGACCUAACCGUACUAGUCACUAGGUUGUUGGGUAGGGUUUCGUUCUCUAGUAACGUAAGACGUACGCGUGUAGUAGACG
rnacentral:rRNA from 1 species